UGAAUACGAGACGCUAAGGCGUUGAAGUAGUGUAUGUCAUACUUCCAAGAAAAGCUUGCACUGUCAUAGAUAAAAAACGCCUGUACCAUAACCGACACAGGUGGGUAGGUAGAGUAUACUAAGGGGCGCGAGAUAACUCUCUCUAAGGAGCUCGGCAAAAUAACUCCGUAACUUCGGGAGAAGGAGUGCCUUAUUUAUAAGGCUGCAAUAACAAGAUCCAAGCAACUGUUUAUCAAAAACACAGGUCUCCGCUAAGUCGUAAGACGAUGUAUGGGGGCUGACGCCUGCCCAGUGCCAGAAGGUUAAAGAAGUUGGUUAGCAAUAGCGAAGCUGAUAACUGAAGCCCUGGUGAACGGCGGCCGUAACGAUAACGGUCCUAAGGUAGCGAAAUUCCUUGUCGGGUAAGUUCCGACCCGCACGAAAGGCGUAAUGAUUUGGAUACUGUCUCGGAGAGGGGCUCGGUGAAAUAGACUUGUCUGUGAAGAUGCGGACUACCUGCACCAGGACAGAAAGACCCUAUGAAGCUUUACUGUAACUUGAAAUCGAAAUUGGACUUUAUUCGCGCAGUAUAGGUGGGAGGCGUUGAUUGUAAUCUUGCGGGAUUAUUGGAGCCAUCAGUGAGAUACCACCCUUGUAAUGUUAGAUUUCUAACUUUGAAUCAUUAUCUGGUCAAAGAACAGUUUCAGGCGGGCAGUUUGACUGGGGCGGUCGCCUCCUAAACGGUAACGGAGGCGUACAAAGGUUUCCUCUGAACGGUUAGAAAUCGUAUCUAGAGUGUAAAGGCAUAAGGAAGCUUGACUGUGAGACCUACAAGUCGAGCAGGGACGAAAGUCGGUCUUAGUGAUCUGACGGUACUGAGUGGAAAGGCCGUCACUCAACGGAUAAAAGUUACUCUAAGGAUAACAGGCUGAUCUCCCCCAAGAGUUCACAUCGACGGGGAGGUUUGGCACCUCGAUGUCGGCUCAUCGCAUCCUGGGGCGGUAGUACGUCCCAAGGGUUGGGCUGUUCGCCCAUGAAAGCGGUACGCGAGCUGGGUUCAGAACGUCGUGAGACAGUUCGGUCCAUAUCCGGUGUAGGCGUUAGAAUAUUGAGAGGAGCCUUCUUUAGUACGAGAGGACCGAGAAGGACAUACCUCUGGUGUACCAGUUAUCGUGCCAACGGUAAACGCUGGGUAGCUAUGUAUGGAGUGGAUAACCGCUGAAAGCAUCUAAGUGGGAAGCCCACCUCAAGAUAAGUAUUCUC
rnacentral:rRNA from 1 species